rnacentral:rRNA from 1 species
AUGGAGGUUGCCAUAUCUGCAGUUACAGGUGAACUUUUGAGCAGGUUCAUCUCCUUCCUGACGAACAAGUAUCGCUCCUCCUUAAGCCAUGCACACUCAGAGGAGCAAAAGAAGAUGGUGGAGAGGUUGCAUCAUCUCCUGAUGAGGGCUGGCACCAUCGUUGAGGAGGCAGACGCGCGGUACAUAACCAACUCUGGAAUGAUGACACAACUCAAGAAUCUCUCAGAGGCCAUGUACCGAGGAUGCCGCGUGCUGGACACCUUGAGGUACCGAACCCUCCAAGACAGUGGAAGCUUCGACGAGGUUAGCAACGACUCAUCCAUCAACUGCUUGUAUUUAGCCAAGCGUUCUCGAACAACUGGCAAGGCCGUGCACCUCGAGUCACAUGAUACCUUGGAAAGCUUAGAAAUUGUUGUUGCUAACAUGGCAGAAUUUGUUGUGCUUCUGGGUGGAUGCGAGCGCAUGUCUCGUAGGCCAUAUGACGUUUAUCUUUACACCGAAAACUUCAUGUUCGGCCGACAUGCUGAGAAGCAGAAGCUCUUGAGCUUCUUGCUGCAGCACAGUGACCCUCAUGGUGAUCAUGCACCGGCCAUUCUUCCAGUCAUAGGUGGUGCUUCGGUAGGAAAGAAAACUUUGGUUGCUCAUGUGUGUAGCGACGAAAGGGUUCACUCACGCUUCUCCUCCAUUUUGCACUUGAAUGGAGACAACUUUAUGAGGAUACUUGACAACGGAAGGAGCAUGUUUGGGAUGGUGUUGGUGGUUAUUACGUUUGCUUCUGAUAUAGGAGACGAUGAUUGGAAAAUACUUCAAAGGGUAGCUCGAUUUGGAUCGUUGAAACCGAUUUUCUAA